UACGUAGGGGGCGAGCGUUGUCCGGAUUUAUUGGGCGUAAAGAGCUCGUAGGCGGCUGUUCGAGUCGGGUGUGAAAUCCUGAGGCUUAACCUUGGGUCUGCAUUCGAUACUGGGCGGCUUGAGUCUGGUAGGGGGAUCUGGAAUUCCUGGUGUAGCGGUGGAAUGCGUAGAUAUCUGGAGGAAUACCGGUGGCGAAGGCGGCAUCCUGGACCAUUACUGACGCUGAGGCGCGAAAGCUAGGGGAGCAAACGGG
rnacentral:rRNA from 1 species